ACCUAACAACGGGUUGUCCGAUCCAUGUGAAAACAUCAGGGCAGAUAGAUCUUGACCUGAUAAACAAUUAAACCCUGUCAGAUUUUCUCUUAAUGCUUCGGUUUUUGAGUUGUAAGCCAAAAACUGCAUUUUACCCCUAUGUUCUAUUAUUAGCCGUGGCAGCCAUUUUGGUUGAUUGGCCAGGUCACGCCACACAUUUUUUAAAAUAAAUUACCCCAAUGAUGAUUGUGGCCAAGUUUAGUUAAAUUUGGCCCAGUAGUUUCAGAGAAGAAGAUUUGUAAAAGAUUACUAAGUUUUAUGAAAAAAUGGUUAAAAAUUGACUAUAAAGGGCAAUAACUCCUUCAGGGGUCAACUGACCAUUUUGGUCAUGCUGACUUAUUUGUAAAUCUUACUUUGCUGAACAUUAUUGCUGUUUACAGUUUAUCUCUAUCUAUAAUAAUAAAAUUCAAGAUAAUAACCAAAAACAGCAAAAUUUCCUUAAAAUUACCAAUUCAGGGGCAGCAACCCAACAACAGGUUGUCCGAUUCAUCUGAAAAUUUCAGGACAGAUAGAUC
rnacentral:lncRNA from 1 species